UUUAAGUGUUGAGCAAUGAGAGGGGAACACACCGCAAUUUAUUAUUGAAGUGUAGCCACUAAUAUUCUCAUUAAAAAUUGUUUAGAGAAUUCUCACAUUGGUUAACUAGCUAGAUUCUCUAAGUGAAUAUUAUUCAUGUCGCCUUAUUCCGCCCAACUGUUCAUUGCGUGCUCUCUUGUGCGAGUAAAUGCCCUUGCACCCUUGCUAUUGUGAGUGCCACCAAUACAAUUUUGGGUAUGGUAUGAGUGAUGUGCCGGGCCAUAGAGAUCUGCUACUACUUAUUCCGGAAGUUCUCUACCAACUUUAGUUUCUUAGAAAAGGAGAAAAAGAUAGAUCCCAACUUUAGUUUAUCUCUAUAUUUUAUUAUUAUAUAUUAUGCAAUAAUAUGAUUUAUGUUUGUUAUUUUUUACGAGGAAAACAAAUUCAAUAUGUUAAUGUGUGCUAUUUGUGCAACAAGUGCGGACAACUUCAAGACAAGCCGUAGUUUCACCAUCGGCAAUGACAACACAGCGAGUUGAUGUGGGAGAGAAAGAUAUCUGGAGCACCUAUGCAUGCAUUUCGUCGGCGGGUUGCGACCACAGUGGCUCACUUGCUGUCGUCAGACAGUGACCAACGUUGCCACCACGUCUCUCCUGCCCCCUACUCUGGGAUUCCCUGGACUAAUAGUCGUGGGGCGUGCGAGCACCUAAUGUCCUGACCUAGCUCACGACCCAAGGCCAUGGUUGCUGCUUUGUUUCUACGUUGAGCUGGUUCUGCCAUAGAGAGACAAGCUGCGGGUUAACCACCAAUAAGAGCAACACCAUGAAAUACUCCUCUAGAAGUUGCAGGUUCAUGGCCUCUGCUAGCAGCGGCGGUACACACGGUUGUGGGGUUUUCCUCCUAGUUCAGACCCUGGAGGCACUAGAUGUUCACAAUCCUCGUGCUCUGUUGGAAAGUGAGGUGGAUGUUGUGGAGGAUGAUGUGAGGAGAUGUUGGAGGAGGCCGUUGUUCCAGAGCAUGUCGAGGUGCAACUGGCCUCUGUGAGCACCCUGAAGGACGCCGACAUCUUCACGGUUGUCAUGCUGGGUUAGCUUGCUGCUUCACUCACCCGUCUCCAAAGGCACCCUUUGAAUCUCAUUGGUGCUUAAGGUUAUGAUCCUGGCAUUUUGAUGUUCAGCUAGAGUAAAUCCAACGAGAUGUUAUGUCAAGAACCUCAGGGAAUCUUUCGAGGAGCUGGCUGACUGGUGUGUGGUGGAAGAAGGCCCUGGACAAUGAGAGCUUCGGGUCGGUGAUGAUCAGAAACUGGCUCCAUAACACACAUCAUAUGUGGUCGUACGGGUAUGGAGAAGAUCCUCUUGAACUCGAGCCUACAGGCGUACAUGCUGGUCCUCAAGAUCAACCCGAUCAUGAAGGAGCUCCACGACAAGGUCUCCCAUGACUACAAUGAGAUUCUUUUGAAUCCCGUUGUUUCUCAGUUUGUUGUGGAACCGCCUUAAUCUCUUGAGCUUGUUCCGGAUGCUCAGUUAAUUGAAGAAGUGAAUUAUAUUCUUUAUCUGUGUUUGGGGCAAAUAUAUCAGUUGCAGUGUCAUGGAAACGGGACUAGCAGAGAUAACGGAAGAGACACUCUAAAGUCUAAGUGAUGACAUGGCCAUGCACUAGUUCUAACAAUGUUCUCAUAGUCAUCGCAUGUUCUAUGUUGUAAGGAAUUCUCCUCCGAGAAUUGAGGAUCUUGUUGCCUAUUUUCAGUCGAACAGUAUGGAGGUUGAUUCUCUAAAGUGUUCUAUGUUGUAAGGAAUUCUCCUCCGAGAAUUGAGGAUCUUGUUGCCUAUUGUCAGUCGAACAGUAUGGAGGUUGAUUCUUACGGUUGUCAAAAUGCUAGGUUGAGCCUCUGGUUCUUUUGCGUUAAAGGCAACACUGUACUCCCUGCGCUGCUGCUGCUGACGUGCACCCGGUCCAAAAGUCGGCAUCUUCCCCGAGUUGCAGCUCCAGCCUGCUGCCAAGCACCACUCGAGGGGCCUCUACAAGGUCGGUGAGGACAAAUCCAUCACUGAAGCCAAGGGCGGCAUGGUCUGCCUCCUCCACACCAACGAAGACGACGAUGCAUAGGAGGAGGGCCUGAAGCAGAUGACAAGGCUAGUGGCUUACGUCGGCGCUCAUGGAGAAGAACCUAGACCCUAAGUGAUUUGUGUCCAACAUCUACGGGUUGUUGCCGAAGAGCCUGGGCCUAGGUGGCCGUUGGUGAGGAAGAGGAGCUGUAGUGCCGAUCUUCCUGCUCAUUAGCUCUUCUUAGCACUAUGAUGUUUAAUCUAGGUGGUUGCUUGAAAUAUGUUGUUUAUCCUUGUGAGAGCGCUUUUUUUUUCAUGUUGCUUGUUCUAUGUACUCAUGGUUUCCACGUUGAUGUGUGGUAAUCAAAUCAAUACGGGUGGUAUAGACAG